ensembl:lncRNA
UGACGACACCGUGUCCUUAGCAACGGUCGCGUCUCUACGGCAACAUCCUCCGAUGUCCCCUACCGCUGCGUUCACCGUGACUCUCCGCCGCUUCCACUCGGGUGAAGUGGUGUUUUUUGGGGGGUGGGUGGGGGGGGAUCCGAUCGAGCGCGAGCGCCCACGCCAGCUGCUGAUUGUGUCUCGCGACUUCAGCGCCUAAAGUUGGUGUGCAUGCGCGGCAACUUGGCCACGAGGACGCGCCUCCGUCAUUGAUCGUCCCUUACCGGCACAACCCGCAGCCGCAGGUACCGCUUGUUUCCAUCUGGGCCGUUUUUAUUCAUUUCCUAAUUUCUCGUGAAUGGAUCCCGCCCUGCUCAUCUUCCUGCUGUACGUGAUGAUCGCGCACGACCUGCUGUGCGGCUGGAUGCAGUACCGCAGAGAGCGCGCCGAGCCGCGGGGACGAGCAGCUCGACCCCUGCUGCGCUCGAGGUGUCAUAUAUGACGACCUUUUUAUCAUGAUGACACUUCCGCAAUAACAAACUCCCCCAGGUGUGCCACGGCGCGUGGAGUACAAGCAGGCCCCACAGAGGAGGGAAGGACCUGAGGAAGAGUGGACGCAUUGUCAGAAAAGCCUGAUAAAAGAGAGGAGCCAAACAAAGACACUUAACCUGAGUAACCUGAAGCACAAUUGGCUCUCAGAGUUGCAGCAAGUUAUGCAAAUUUGUCUCUGCUGUCUUUCAAACACGCCGAAUGUGAGUUUUGGAAGCCAAAUCCACCAGAAGAUGAAAUCUUUGUUCAUGUUGCAUUAAGUCUCAACUUCUCUUUGAGCUCUAUGUUUGUUCCCCCAAAUAAAAACCUGUCUG